UACAGAGGGGGCUAGCGUUGUUCGGAAUUACUGGGCGUAAAGGGCGCGUAGGUGGCCUGUUAAGUCGAACGUGAAAUCCCCGGGCUUAACCUGGGAACUGCAUUUGUGACUGCAUGGCUGGAGUGCGGCAGAGGGGGAUGGAAUUCCGCGUGUAGCAGUGAAAUGCGUAGAUAUGCGGAGGAACACCGAUGGCGAAGGCAAUCCCCUGGGCCUGCACUGACGCUCAUGCACGAAAGCGUGGGGAGCAAACAGG
rnacentral:rRNA from 1 species